UACAGAGGUCUCAAGCGUUGUUCGGAUUCAUUGGGCGUAAAGCGCACGUAGGCGGCCUGUUAAGUCGGGUGUGAAAGCCCCGGGCUCAACCCGGGAAGUGCAUUCGAAACUGGCAGGCUUGAAUAUGGAAGAGGGUCGCGGAAUUCCCGGUGUAGAGGUGAAAUUCGUAGAUAUUCGGAGGAACACCAGUGGCGAAGGCGGCUCACUGGUCCGGUACUGACGCUGAGGUGCGAAAGCGUGGGGAGCAAACAGG
rnacentral:rRNA from 1 species